GGGUUGUGAGGUUAAGCGACUAAGCGUACACGGUGGAUGCCCUGGCAGUCAGAGGCGAUGAAGGACGUGCUAAUCUGCGAAAAGCGUCGGUAAGGUGAUAUGAACCGUUAUAACCGGCGAUGUCCGAAUGGGGAAACCCAGUGUGAUUCGUCACACUAUCGUUAACUGAAUACAUAGGUUAACGAGGCGAACCGGGGGAACUGAAACAUCUAAGUACCCCGAGGAAAAGAAAUCAACCGAGAUUCCCCCAGUAGCGGCGAGCGAACGGGGAGCAGCCCAGAGUCUGAAUCAGCUUGUGUGUUAGUGGAACGGUCUGGAAAGUCCGACGGUACAGGGUGAUAGUCCCGUACACCAAAAUGCACAGGUUGUGAACUCGAAGAGUAGGGCGGGACACGUGGUAUCCUGUCUGAAUAUGGGGGGACCAUCCUCCAAGGCUAAAUACUCCUGACUGACCGAUAGUGAACCAGUACCGUGAGGGAAAGGCGAAAAGAACCCCGGCGAGGGGAGUGAAAAAGAACCUGAAACCGUGUACGUACAAGCAGUGGGAGCACCUUCGGGUGUGACUGCGUACCUUUUGUAUAAUGGGUCAGCGACUUAUAUUCUGUAGCAAGGUUAACCGUAUAGGGGAGCCGCAGGGAAACCGAGUCUUAACUGGGCGUUAAGUUGCAGGGUAUAGACCCGAAACCCGGUGAUCUAGCCAUGGGCAGGUUGAAGGUUGGGUAACACUAACUGGAGGACCGAACCGACUAAUGUUGAAAAAUUAGCGGAUGACUUGUGGCUGGGGGUGAAAGGCCAAUCAAACCGGGAGAUAGCUGGUUCUCCCCGAAAGCUAUUUAGGUAGCGCCUCGUGAAUUCAUCUUCGGGGGUAGAGCACUGUUUCGGCUAGGGGGUCAUCCCGACUUACCAACCCGAUGCAAACUACGAAUACCGAAGAAUGUUAUCACGGGAGACACACGGCGGGUGCUAACGUCCGUCGUGAAGAGGGAAACAACCCAGACCGCCAGCUAAGGUCCCAAAGUCAUGGUUAAGUGGGAAACGAUGUGGGAAGGCACAGACAGCCAGGAUGUUGGCUUAGAAGCAGCCAUCAUUUAAAGAAAGCGUAAUAGCUCACUGGUCGAGUCGGCCUGCGCGGAAGAUGUAACGGGGCUAAACCAUGCACCGAAGCUGCGGCAGCGACACUAUGUGUUGUUGGGUAGGGGAGCGUUCUGUAAGCCUGCGAAGGUGACCUGUGAGGGUUGCUGGAGGUAUCAGAAGUGCGAAUGCUGACAUAAGUAACGAUAAAGCGGGUGAAAAGCCCGCUCGCCGGAAGACCAAGGGUUCCUGUCCAACGUUAAUCGGGGCAGGGUGAGUCGACCCCUAAGGCGAGGCCGAAAGGCGUAGUCGAUGGGAAACAGGUUAAUAUUCCUGUACUUGGUGUUACUGCGAAGGGGGGACGGAGAAGGCUAUGUUAGCCGGGCGACGGUUGUCCCGGUUUAAGCAUGUAGGCUGGUUGUCCAGGCAAAUCCGGAUAAUCAAGGCUGAGGUGUGAUGACGAGGCACUACGGUGCUGAAGUAACAAAUGCCCUGCUUCCAGGAAAAGCCUCUAAGCAUCAGGUAACAUCAAAUCGUACCCCAAACCGACACAGGUGGUCAGGUAGAGAAUACCAAGGCGCUUGAGAGAACUCGGGUGAAGGAACUAGGCAAAAUGGUGCCGUAACUUCGGGAGAAGGCACGCUGGUGUGUAGGUGAAGUCCCUGCGGAUGGAGCUGAGACCAGUCGAAGAUACCAGCUGGCUGCAACUGUUUAUUAAAAACACAGCACUGUGCAAACACGAAAGUGGACGUAUACGGUGUGACGCCUGCCCGGUGCCGGAAGGUUAAUUGAUGGGGUUAUCCGUAAGGAGAAGCUCUUGAUCGAAGCCCCGGUAAACGGCGGCCGUAACUAUAACGGUCCUAAGGUAGCGAAAUUCCUUGUCGGGUAAGUUCCGACCUGCACGAAUGGCGUAAUGAUGGCCAGGCUGUCUCCACCCGAGACUCAGUGAAAUUGAACUCGCUGUGAAGAUGCAGUGUACCCGCGGCAAGACGGAAAGACCCCGUGAACCUUUACUAUAGCUUGACACUGAACAUUGAGCCUUGAUGUGUAGGAUAGGUGGGAGGCUUUGAAGCGUGGACGCCAGUCUGCGUGGAGCCAACCUUGAAAUACCACCCUUUAAUGUUUGAUGUUCUAACGUUGGCCCCUGACCGGGGUUGCGGACAGUGUCUGGUGGGUAGUUUGACUGGGGCGGUCUCCUCCCAAAGCGUAACGGAGGAGCACGAAGGUUAGCUAAUCCUGGUCGGACAUCAGGAGGUUAGUGCAAUGGCAUAAGCUAGCUUGACUGCGAGCGUGACGGCGCGAGCAGGUGCGAAAGCAGGUCAUAGUGAUCCGGUGGUUCUGAAUGGAAGGGCCAUCGCUCAACGGAUAAAAGGUACUCCGGGGAUAACAGGCUGAUACCGCCCAAGAGUUCAUAUCGACGGCGGUGUUUGGCACCUCGAUGUCGGCUCAUCACAUCCUGGGGCUGAAGUAGGUCCCAAGGGUAUGGCUGUUCGCCAUUUAAAGUGGUACGCGAGCUGGGUUUAGAACGUCGUGAGACAGUUCGGUCCCUAUCUGCCGUGGGCGCUGGAGAAUUGAGGGGGGCUGCUCCUAGUACGAGAGGACCGGAGUGGACGCAUCACUGGUGUUCGGGUUGUCAUGCCAAUGGCACUGCCCGGUAGCUAAAUGCGGAAGAGAUAAGUGCUGAAAGCAUCUAAGCACGAAACUUGCCCCGAGAUGAGUUCUCCCUGAGACUUUAAGUCUCCUGAAGGAACGUUGAAGACGACGACGUUGAUAGGCCGGGUGUGUAAGCGCAGCGAUGCGUUGAGCUAACCGGUACUAAUGAACCGUGAGGCUUAACCUUACAACGCCGAAG
rnacentral:rRNA from 1 species